rnacentral:misc_RNA from 1 species
UACGGAGGGGGCUAGCGUUGCUCGGAAUUACUGGGCGUAAAGGGCGCGUAGGCGGAUUUUUUAGUCAGGCGUGAAAGCCCCGGGCUCAACCUGGGAAUUGCGCUUGAUACUGGAAGUCUAGAGUUCUGGAGAGGGUGGUGGAAUUCCCAGUGUAGAGGUGAAAUUCGUAGAUAUUGGGAAGAACACCAGUGGCGAAGGCGGCCACCUGGCCAGACACUGACGCUAAUGCGCGAAAGCGUGGGGAGCAAACAGG